AGUGAACGCUGGCGGUAGGCCUAACACAUGCAAGUCGAACGGCAGCACAGUAAGAGCUUGCUCUUACGGGUGGCGAGUGGCGGACGGGUGAGGAAUACAUCGGAAUCUACUUUUUCGUGGGGGAUAACGUAGGGAAACUUACGCUAAUACCGCAUACGACCUACGGGUGAAAGCAGGGGAUCUUCGGACCUUGCGCGAUUGAAUGAGCCGAUGUCGGAUUAGCUAGUUGGCGGGGUAAAGGCCCACCAAGGCGACGAUCCGUAGCUGGUCUGGGAGGAUGAUCAGCCACACUGGAACUGAGACACGGUCCAGACUCCUACGGGAGGCAGCAGUGGGGAAUAUUGGACAAUGGGCGCAGGCCUGAUCCAGCCAUACCGCGUGGGUGAAGAAGGCCUUCGGGUUGUAAAGCCCUUUUGUUGGGAAAGAAAAGCAGCAGGUUAACACCCCGCUGUUCUGACGGUACCCAAAGAAUAAGCACCGGCUAACUUCGUG
rnacentral:rRNA from 1 species